ensembl:lncRNA
AUCUCUGGUUGGAGAUCCCUCCCUUACGGAGUUUUUCCUGUGAGCCUAGAACUUCAGAGAUGGGAUCACAGACUUGUGCAAACUGGAAGUGUGCUCCAGAGCACCUCUUGUAGAGUUUGCAGUUCGAAGACAGGCUAGCUGGGUCACAAUGCUCAUGGACCGACCCAGUCUGGCCUUGUAAAUCUCUUGGGAACCUUGUUCUGGUGUUGCACUGCUCUCAUGCUGCAGAGUUGGGUCAUUUGCCUGCUUACUCCUUGGGAGAGCAAUGAAGUGACUGGAAUGCAGUUUUCUUCUUCUAGAAGGUUGUCAUAACAAAAAGGUCUGAAGUGGUACUGUAUCAUCAUCUCAACGGCUUGUCUGUCUCACUCCUUACUCAAGGAGGUGGAUGAUGUAGCAGCAUUUUAGACAAACACAGAGUGUGUCAUUUGACUUUUCUUAUCCGUCACGUAGCAGCAUAGUCUUCGCACCUCUCCAUGCUAAGCACGUGUAAAUACCUGUCAGUGUAUAUGGCUUACGUGUCAGUAGUCUUUGGGAAUUAUUCUUCUAGUUUAAUUGCAGGAGAGUUGCUGCGUUGUUGAAACUCAUGGGAAAGCAGCAAGUAGCAAUGCCUGUUUCUAGACAUUUCUGUUACAGUCUCUGUAACAUAGGAAUUUGCAGUCCUUCAAGGAGAGGGUGUAAGUUAGCCUACAGUGGCUGUCUGGAUCUGAACCUAAGGUCUCCUCUGCUGGAAGUUUCCUUAUUGAUCCUAUUGAAGUGUGCUGUAGGAACUAAUGGUGCGAAUAUUUGUCAGCACUGAAAAGACACGUGCAACAUAGUCCCAAAAGUUUUUUGUUGCCUGCUCUAGCUGCAGCAAUGGAUAGGGUUGACAUUUAAAUCCUUCUUUGGUCUAGAUACUGGAAUCCCCACUCUCACUUUCUGUUUUACAGGACUGACAUUAUAAGAAAGAAUUUAUAAAAAGUGACUGUCAAUCUCCUUGCUGCCCUCAGAAGUCUGUUACAGUUGCUAAGUAUAAAUGCCCUGAAUGAAAUAGCUGAUGACGUUUAAGAGCUGCUUUGGUCCUCUUCUAAGGCUUUGGUACAUGCUCCAGCUGAGGGUUUAAAGGUCUUUCCAUUGUGCUCAUAGGGAGGACAGCAAAUUCUAAUGGCUAAAAUGUUCAUGAUAUGAAUGUUCUUGUUCCCAAGUCUGUGGAAACUCAAAGCCCAAAAUACUGGAUAAAGUCAUCCUUACGACAGUGCAGGUAGGCAGACCUUGAGGAGCCUGUUC